AUUGAACGCUGGCGGCAGGCCUAACACAUGCAAGUCGAACGGUAACAGGAAACAGCUUGCUGUUUCGCUGACGAGUGGCGGACGGGUGAGUAAUGUCUGGGAAACUGCCUGAUGGAGGGGGAUAACUACUGGAAACGGUAGCUAAUACCGCAUAACGUCGCAAGACCAAAGAGGGGGGCCUUCGGGCCUCUUGCCAUCGGAUGUGCCCAGGUGGGAUUAGCUAGUAGGUGGGGUAACGGCUCACCUAGGCGACGAUCCCUAGCUGGUCUGAGAGGAUGACCAGCCACACGAGAACUGAGACACGGUCCAGACGCCUACGGGAGGCAGCAGUGGGGAAUAUUGCACAAUGGGCGCAAGCCUGAUGCAGCCAUGCCGCGUGUAUGAAGAAGGCCUUCGGGUUGUAAAGUACUUUCAGCGGGGAGGAAGGGAGUAAAGUUAAUACCUUUACUCAUUGACGUUACCCGCAGAAGAAGCACCGGCUAACUCCGUG
rnacentral:rRNA from 1 species